AACCAGGUCCCCAUGGCUAGGGCAGACGAAGAAAAUACCCCGUUCAUCACCAACUCAGGAACCUUCUGCUUCAAGGUAAUGCCCUUCGGGAUAAGGGACAAUGCCAAUAAGGGUCCUCAGAGUACCCAGCGGGGGCCAGCUCUCGGGAGGGUCGACAAGAGGCCCGAGACAAGACAACUUCACGAAGAAGAACUGAUCGCGCCAACCAUGAGCACGAUCAGGCAGCGCUUCGAAAAGAGUCUUCCGGGGGGCUCCGCGGGAUGCAACCAAGAUACGGUUCCGAUCACUCGUCAUCGGAUACAUGUGGAACCAAUUGAAAAAUAGGGGCACAGUAAGCUCAAUAUCGCAAGCAACGCAAAGAGAAGAGAAGGUAAGAAUGCGCUCAGCGGUACCAGGUGGAAACUACGAGAGAGACACCCGACAGAGAUUGAGGAGGGCUUGGAAGAGUGGAGGAAGUGGCAGGGUCAGACCAAUCUCAGCGUAGGGAACGUAGACUGCAACAUGCCCAGGAGGAGGAUGGGAGGCAACAAGGUCCCCAGCCAUCUUGUACUUCGCAGGGUCCUUGUACUUAUACAUCUCCUUCAGAGCCUUGGUACAGGCGGAAGGAGUAGCAAUCGUGAGCGGAUUCUUGGGAUCAGGAGGUGGAGUGAAAACAUGGUGGAUGAUAUCAUCGACCAGGAGGUCAGGGGAGACAUGGGAGGAAGACAUUACAGCCCUGCAAGGAAAUCGCCAAGUUCAAGUAGAGCGGGAAAGAGGGGAAGUAAAAAAGGAAAGUAACUGUGGUAGAAGAAGGCAGUAAAUAUUUAUAAAGAGGGGGGCACAGAAGACGAAGAGUUACGAAUACCUGGCCUCAUCAGAGGUCGGGGGUCCAGAAGAACGGAGCCGGAAGCGAGUCGCGGGGCUGACGGAUGGGGGCCGGACCCCGAGUGGGGAAUCGGCGUGACCGGCGGAGGCCCGAGGGGCCGGCGAGGCAUCACCCGGAGGCCGAAGGGCGUCGGGGGCCCGGGAAAAAGGAUCGGCGGACGAGCGAAGCUCGAGCAGGAUGCGGGCCAGAUCGAUGGAAGGCGGUGAGGGUAAACCAAUGGCACAAACUGAAGCACGAAAGGAAAAGAGAUGUUCAAAAUUUAAAAGGGACGCAAGGCUUCAAAAUAGUAUUUAGUGCUAAGUUUCUAUUACAAGCCCGAGAGCACUACAAAAUUACAGCAAAAGCCACAAGAUGCCCUAAACUACAAAACAGGAAGAAAAAGCUAAAAAGCUAAACGAGCUUUAAAGAAAAAGCAAAACGACGCCGGGAAGUAAGUCGGGGGAACCACGCGACCUCCCUCCGAGCACAACACAAGGAGGAGAGAGGAGGAGGUAUCUCUAGACGGCGCACCUGCAGGGUCAAACAGACCCAUAACCCAUAGGGACUGGGCCGAAGCAGCCCCCGAACCCGACGCGAGCGGAGGUUUAGUGGCCCGACUUCGGCGGCCCCGACAAGAAGUGACGCAAGUCAGUAGCAGAGAGGAACGAGGACCCACGUGAGCCACGACGACCCGCGAGAGCGCCGACGACAACCCCCACCAGCAACAGGGGCAGCAGAGGCCGAAUCGCGCAAGGAGCAGCAGAAGCUGGACGUGGCAGCUGCAGCAGCAGCAGAAGAGACCGGGGUUCCAGAAGAAGAAGGAGCGUCGGUCUAGCAAAGUUGCGUGAGGCGGCGGUGUAUGUCAAUCAUGACAGAGUUAAGCCGCUAGCUCUCUGACACAGUAUGGAAGGAGCCAGCAGGAAACAGUAAGCACUCAGUUCAAGCGGAGUGUUGGAGCUUCACCUCACGACCAAACUCCUCUAGUAGAUCUUGAACGGCCAUUGAUUUUGUUUUUCUGGUCGUCAAAGAAAGCGGAUGGAGAAUACUUAUAGACACGUGAAGAGAAAAUGCGUGAGACACGAGACACUAUAAAGAAAGUUAGGUGGGUGGCCCUUUUGGCCCCCCGGCCCGGGGGGGAGUACUGUUGGUACCAGGGCCCGUCGAGUCGGGCCCCGGACCAGACAGGCCCGCUAGGCCUACUAGGCCCUAGGGCAAAUAGUUAUAAAUACCUCCCAUGGUGCAACAGGGAGGGGGAUCGGUUACCUGAAAUAGGAAUACUAGAGAGUUGUGUGUUUGAACACUCGAGCUCGAGCCCAC
rnacentral:lncRNA from 1 species